UUUUGUGGUCUUUAACCUCUCGCACACUUUCUCUUUCUCUUCUUCUUUUACAUAAAUAGGCGCAGAUAACGUGAGCGGACCAGAAGGCGAGCACGUGAUCGGGGACACACUGCAACAAAAAAAAAAAAGAAAAAAAAGACAGCUGAGGGUUAAAGAGGCGAAGAGGUCGCUGGAUGUGUUUGUGUGUGUCAAUGCCACGGCGCGUGUGAAUGAACUCGCCGUGAGAUAAGGUUUUAUCAAUCUGCAGAGUCUGCGCUGCGAUGUGUCUUCGCCUGCUGACGACCCUGACCUGACGCAAUCUUACAGUCCCACUUACACAACGCAGACGGAACAUAGGAAGGCUACGGUAUUCUCACAGCGGCCAUUUUUCACCAACAUCGCGCCCCCAGCGGGAGGAUCAGACAUCAUACUGCUGCUUUCCAGGUUGCAAGCAAUACGUCGACACUGUUUUGAAGACAAAAAAGCUCGACUUCCCAUCUUUGAAAAUACCCAGAUCGUCUAUAUCGAGCAGCCUAUCGAGCAUGCGCACUGGAGACGUCCAGCGACCAAGCUAGCUAGCGUAUGGCUAACUUUUUUGCAUCACAUGACAAUGUAACUGCACGUUUUUCUUAAUCACAUGCAGAGUUGCACUAACCAUGUUGUGUUUAUCAGCUCACAUGGAGACGGAUAGCUCAGCUGCUCUGGUCUGUUCUAGUUAUUUCAAAGAGCAGUACAUGGGGACCAAGUCCAGUCCUGAGGCCCGGCCUCGGUUUUCAUCAGAGACAGGAGUGUCCCUUAUCAAAAAAUAUAGGUCGUGGCUCACUAUGAUUUUGCAUGUGAUCUACUAAGCUGCACUUGUGUUUGCAACGUUUGGAUUUUCAUAGCCGGCUCCAUUAUCCUGGCUUAUCUGUAUGUCGAACCUCCCAGUUUAUAGUCCAAAAAGAAAAGUCAUUUUAAAGCUCCAGAUGUAGGUAUUUAAGUUUUAUGUGAAGGCAGAAUCAGGCCUGUUUUGUUGAGUGAACCUGAAGUGGGUAGUAAAAACUGCCCGCACACGGCUGGAUCUCAUUAACUGGGUUAGUAAGACAAAGGUGAGAGCACCAACAUUUCUACAGGACAUGUGUGUGCAUAGACUCACAAACAGAACGUCAGUUUCCAGCUCAGACGGUGCUGUUAUUAUCCUUUAAGUUCUUUGUGUUUACCUCUAACGCUAUGAUGCGCCACAACAUCCAGAUUAGGGCAGUCAUGUUUUCAAGGACAAUUCUGGUCUGGAAGAGACUGGAAUGUUUUUAUCCAAAAAGAGAUUCCUGGCCGAGACAGAGAACAUUUCUGUGCACGAUUCCUGUAAGAUUGUUCAUCAGGGAAAAGACCUCCAGAGGAACAAGAUGCUGACAGGAACCCCUGCAUUACAUAAAGGCAGAACAUCUGUCUGAUAUAUCUUCACCAAGCACGACUCAUCAGAUUGUGCCUGACUGGCUGAGCAGCUGCAGAGACCGAGCGAGCUCGUGAAGGUCUCGGAGGAGAGAAACUAAGACAAUAAGUUAAUUAAAUGUACUUUCCCAUGCUUUUUUGUGUGAUUUACUGAUGCAGGACAGAUGCAAAGUGUUGGAUUUCUGCAAGUGGUUAAAAAAUUCUGAGGGACAAAUUAUAGCUGAGCGCUCAUCAAUCGCUCUGAGCAUGGAAACUGCAAAAGGACACAUAUUAAUAAUAAUAAAUAGUGACAUUUUAAAGAGAAUAUGCUUCAUUAUUUACAGACAAAACUGUUUGCACCAAGUUGUAUGGUGUUUGUUGUGCCUAACAUUCUUUGUUUUGCUUUUUUUUAUGUCGAGAUCCAUCCCCCAUCCAAGUUUCAUGGAAAUCUGUUCAGUAAUUUUUUUAUAAUCCUGGCGACAAACCAACAAUCCCACCCAGGAGACCGUUGUUCACGUCCAGUGUGAAACCAAAAGUCAACAGUGAGUUAUUCUAACUUACUCGUACAUAUGUUACGUAACUAAAAAGUUAAGCUAACCAAGUAGUUUUCUUGUCUUUUCUUUCUUGAACAGUUGUUGGAGUCAUUGGCAAGACAUAUACUUUUAAAUUAGCUGUUGCUCCUGACAAAUGUGACAAGAUGCAGGAAAGUUUCUUAUUUCAGUUUUAAUAGAGAGAAAAUAUUACUAUAUUAUUAUGUUGUAUAAACUCUUUAUUUGUCCCACAUUACAUGCUGUAAACAAUU